UACAGCAACACCUACAUCAUGUUUUCUAACUCUUUUCUGGAUUCCAGCUCUCAGUUCUGAGGUUGACAGAUCCCUGGAUUACAUGAACUGUCAAUUUGUAAGCCUGCAUGCUUGGAGACUAUGGAACUGGUGCAAAUUUCCCCCUCUGCCAUUUAAAUCUCCUACUGAGUUUUCAACAUGAAACUCAAACUGGAAGCACUGGAAGGAGGAGAAAUGUGAGAAAGAAGUGAAUAAAGUGCUCAAAACAUGAAGGAGUUGGAACAUGCUUUGGAAGAGAAGCAUCCAGUUUACUCUUCCUACAUGCACAGGACUGUCUGGCCAGGAGGAAAAAUGAAAUCUGUCUACCAAACAACCUCAAGCCUGCGUUGUAAGGAUACUAUAGGAGGGGAAAAUGUGGAAAACUACUUGGUGUGCGUCUGUAAGGCUUGGGAUUGAGGCUCUUGUGCCUCAAACACAGCCAUAAUUGUAAGUUCUGAGUAUGUAUAUUCUAUUGCUACAUCUUACCACGUGUGAAUUUUGUGUUAAAAAGGGCUUUAAACUUGAUCUUUAUUUUAUUAUGCUAAUUUUUUGUUAAUUCUUUAGUGUCUUUCACACAAAAUGAUUGUUUUUUACUGUCAGCCUUAACCCCAUUUUAACUCAAGUUUUCAUCCAAAGGGAAAAGUUUUAUAUUUUAUGACUUUCUCUCUUCAUUUGUGCAGAGUUAAAUUUUUGUUAUGCAUUUAUUAAUAGUAAUUGCUUCUGGAAACUGAUUGUUUUGUUAGUAAUAUUUUUGUAUAUUUUAAGGUUGGAAAUAUCAUAAUAAAAAGGAAAAGAAAAACA
rnacentral:lncRNA from 1 species